CUUGGCCGCCGCCCCCCCUGCCCACCUCCUCCUCCCUCCAUUGUUGCAGCCACCAAAACCCUAGCCGCCCCCCCCCAAUUCCCUCCUCCCUAGGUGCUACUCCGUGUCGCUCGGAUCAUCGUCUUUUGGUGCGAAUCUCCAAUCGUUUUGGUGGAAGGAAGAAGGGAGGAAGGAAAAGGGGAGAACCCAAGGUGAUUUUUCUUUUGUGUUCAUCCCUUGUUCAUUUGCGCUGCGAUUCAAUUGAUGAGAUGUUGCGUUUGCGAUUAGAUAGAGGGGGGCUGUCCAGAAUUUUGCGUGGUGGAUGAACAGCGGUAGUUCCAGCAGUUUUUAGUUUUUUUUUCGUGAAGAUUUAAUGGGGAUCAAUUUGGGAAUCUUGUAGAACUUUGUUUUAUCUUUCCAACGAGUAUUUAUGCGCUCAAUUUGGAGUUAUAAAUUAAAAGUUAUCAUCGUUUGAAUCCGGGUAUGUGGCUGUCCAGAAAACAGAUUUUUCAGAGUAAUGAACAGCAGCAGUGUUAGCAGUUUCUGGGGAUUUUUCGGGAGCAAUUAGUGUUAAUCAGUAUGAGAAUCUUGUAGAACUUUGUUUUAUCUUUCCAACGAGUAUUUAUGCGCUCAAUUUGGAGUUAUAAAUUAAAAGUUAUCAUCGUUUGAAUCCGGGUAUGUGGCUGUCCAAAAAACAGAUUUUUUCAGAGUGAUGAACAGCAGCAGUGUUAGCAGUUUCUGGGGAUGUUUCGGGAGUAAUUAGUGUUAAUCAGUAUGAGAAUCAUGUAGGGCUUUUUCUUAUCUUUCCAACAAGUACUUAUGCGCUCAAAUCGGAAUUAUAUUUUAAAAGUUAUCGCUGUUUGAAUCCGCGUAUGUCGCUGCUCAAAUCAGAAAAAAACAGAUUGCAGGGUUUAUUUUGAGGACCGUUUAGAGGUAAGUAGAUGUUAGAAUUCAAUCAUGAGUUGUAUACAAAACUUGUGGGGAAUUUUAUGUAGUUGUCUCUGAAGUUUUUGUUUAUCAUCACUGCUGUCCUAAAUUUUAAGUUAUGGAAUUGUUAAGCAGCGCCGCUGCAGUUUGGUUAGUGAGGGGAGAAUUGUUACCGCGGCGGGGUUUGAGAUUGCGCGUAGGUGCGGUGUUGUCUUUGAGUUUUUUUUCAUGAGAAUUUGGUGCACUAAGUUGGGUGUCAAAAACAGGUGGUGGACUUCCGGAUCGUUCUUAGGGAUUUUGCCCGAACUUCGGUAAAGGCAAGUAAAACAGUGAUGGUUAUUUCGUCUUUUGAUUGAAGAGUCUUAUACUUGAUUACGUUUGUGCUAUUUGUGUUCGUAUCCAUAUUCCUAAUUGGGUACCAUCAUUUGAAAUUAUUCAUGCUUUAUUGAUUAUACAUGUGGAGGGUGUGGUUUGAUCAUGUUACCCAUGUGGUUAUUGAUGUGAAAUGGGUGGAAGUAUAUGUCUAGCACAUCUUAUUUGGGAAGAACUCAUGUUGUUGACAUGCAUAAUCCAUUCAUCAUCCAUUGCAUUGAAGUUUCGUCGCGAUCUUAUGGUCCGACCGUACCGGUACAAUGAGCAUCAUAUGUUUCCCGAGAAGGGGUAUGAUGCAGCUUCAUAUCCUUAGAGGUAUGAAGGCAGAAGUCAUGUUGCAUCUGUAGCCAUGUGCAUUCAUGGGUGAAGUGUGGAACCUAUUUUGGUGAUGUGGAUAAGGUGGAUCUUUACUUAGUAAUUCAUCUUGGCAUUGAGUAAUUGAUUACUUGCUUACUUGCUGCAAAUUAAUAUUUAAGGAGGAAGUUGGGAACCAUGUGGUUGCUUAUGCACGGUUGGCUUGCAUUGUCCAACUGUUGUUUGUUUUUUUUACUUGCUGAGAUGUGUCAUCUCACUCUUGCAUUGUCUGAUGCAGGCACCUGAUCUUUGCUUUGGGAAGGAAGGGAUGUAGCAGCACUGCCACCACACUUUUAAAUAAAGGAAUAACUGAUUAAUAAUGAUGUUAAACAGGAAGAGUCAAGUCUAGGGAAUUAUUACAUUCUAAUCUUUCAUGGUAGUUGAACUGUUUAGUUUGGUGGGCUGAGAUGUCUAUCUUUUGUCUGGUCAUGAAUGUUCUUUUCUACUGUUGCAUUUUGAUUAUACUAUGUCAAUUAUCUUUCUUUUAUAUCCUGUAUAAACUAUAUGCUUCCCUUGUUAUGCUACUUUCAAGGGAGGUGCUGCCGGAUUUUGCAAUACUUUCUUUCUCUAUGUGUUGCAUAAGUUUUGUAGAAAGGUUUUUUUUGGUAUCAUCCAUUGUGUGGGAUCAGUGGGGUGUUACAGUUGGUAUCAGAGGUAUAGGCUGUAGGUCCUAGCAAGUGGAGUAGUAAUAAAUUGACACACUGCACAUGUAGGAUGGGUUUUCGGUCUUGCUAUUGAUAUGAUUAUGUUAUUCUCUGUGCUAGUUUUGACAUUAUCUCAUAUACUUAUUAUUCUCAUCCCUGUGGCUACAGCUAUGCCGCCUCGUAGAGCUCGGGGUAGUCCGCAAGCUCCUAGUGGGGACUCGAUGAGUCCGGCGGCAAUGUUAGCCGCGAUGCAGGCCAUGCAGCAGGAGUUGGCCCUUCUGAGGCAAGCCAUUCCUGUCGCCCCUGCAGGUGCUGCUCAGGGUGCUGGAGGUGGAGAAGUGCCCAGGGGCGCUGUCCCUGCGGGUGCUGUUCCUGGUGGUGGGGCCGGGGUGCCUCUUCCAGUUAGUGGUCUUUCUCUGAUGCAGUGGAUGGGCAUGAAGUUGGAUUCUUUUGAUGGCAGUGGUACUCCGGUCGAGGCGGCAGAUUGGCUGACUUAUGUGGAGGAUAAGAUGAAUGUCUUCGAGAUUGCUUAUGAAGAUCGGGUUCGCUUUGGCACUCAGCUGCUGAAGGGUGAGGCGCAGAUUUGGUGGAGAGGCGUGCAGGCAGCGCACUCCUCCUCACCAGGAGUCCUAUCAUGGGAUGUUUUCAUCAGGCAGUUCGAAAGGAGAUUCUACCCGGUCACCUUUCUGGAGAAAAUGAAGAUUGACUUGCAGUCCUACAAGCAGGAGAAGAAGUUUGUCACAGAGUAUGAGGUGGGCUUCAACAAAAUGGUCCGCUUUGUCCCUCAUGUGGCUUAUAAUGAGAUGGAGAAGGCGAGCCAAUUCCGUCAGGGUCUGAAGCCUUCUAUUAGGCAUGCUCUGGGGGCCUUUCCGUUGGUGGACUUCCGUACCACAGUGGAGCAGGCGCUGGGUGUGGAGAUGCAACACCAGUACACCAUGGAGUCGCAGAGGUCUUCGGGUGUUGAUCAACCUCGUAGCCAGGACACGAGGAGGGGCAACACUGGAGGUCCAGCUCACAAGAGGGGCAAGUCUCAGCAUCAGCGCCACCAUCCUUACCGUGGCAAAUCUUCUGACUCAGGUACUUCAGGAGGAAGUACUCAGAGGUUUUGGGCCGUUCCUAAGCCCGGGUUGGGGCUGGUGUGUUUCCGCUGUGGAGAUGCGCAUCGCCGUGCAGAGUGUCAGUGGAGUGGUAGGUGUUCUAUCUGCAGUCAGGACCACAAGGAUGUGGUGUGUAGGAGGAAUCCCAAUGGGAAGCUCAGAUGGGAGCCGAUAGCUUCCUCCUCUUCUCAGGGCACUAUCAAUAUGAUGUCAAGUGCUGAGCAGCAGUUUUCAGUUCCUCUUCCUCCACAGCAGCUUUAUGUGCCCGGGACUUCUCAGUUCGUGCUGAUGCAAGGUUUUCCGCAGUAUCAGGUUGUGCCUACUCCUGCGCCGUCUACCCCUGUGUUGUCUCAGUUUGGAGCUCCGCGCCAGCCUCCUCCGGUGGCUUAGUGGGGUUCUUCUGUUAAUUUCACUCCGGGAGCUUCCUCUUCUGCGGGUAUUUCUGGAGCUUAUGUGCUACCCGCUACGGAUGGCAGGGAGCAAGGAGACGUGGUGACAGGUACGAUUUCAGUUGAUUCAUUUGCAGCCCAUGCUCUUUUUGACUCUGGCGCUAGCUAUUCGUUUGUUUCGGAGGAUUUUGUGUCGCGGGCUGGUCUUUCGGUGCAGAGGUUGGGUCACCCAAUUUUGGUCAGUUCUGCUAAUGGCUCCAUUAGUAGCUGUUCAGUUUGUCAGGGGUGUUCCGUCAUUCUUGCUGAUGAGGUUUUUUCGGCUAAUCUGGUGGUGAUUUCCUUGGGGGCAUUCGAUGUUAUCUUGGGUAUGGAUUGGUUAUCCCAGUAUCGCGCGGUUACAUCCUGCUUCUGGAAGACAGUGUUAUUGCAGGCGCCGUCGGGUAAGGAGGUGGUAUUCUUGGGAAGUUCUCCGAAGUUCACAUUAUCCUUGUUGGCGCAAUUGCUUCCUGAUCGCUGGUCAAGGAAGUCGGGGAUCUUUUUCUCUAUGGUGGUGGAGGGCGAGGCUGCCUUGCGGGUGCAGGACAUCCGGGUGGUGUGUGACUUUGCUGACGUGUUUCCAGCAGAGCUUCCAGGCAUUCCUCCGGAGCGCGAUGCAGCUUUUGAGAUUAAGCUGAUCCCGGGUACGCAGCCUAUUCAUAAGGCCCCGUAUCGAAUGGCUCCAAAGGAGCAGAUUGAAUUAAAGCGGCAAUUGGAUGAUCUGCUGGCUAAGGGCUUCAUUAGGUCUAGCAGGUCUCCAUGGGCCUCCCCAGUAUUGUUUGUUGAGAAGAAGGAUAAAAGCAAGCGGCUGUGUGUGGAUUAUCGCGCUUUGAAUCAAGUGACAAUCAAGAAUAAAUAUCCGCUUCCCCGAAUUGAGGUCCUCUUUGAGCAGUUGAGGGGUGCCCAGGUGUUCUCCAAAAUUCAUUUGAACUCUGGUUAUCAUCAAUUGAGGAUUCGUGAGGAGGAUAUUGAGAAGACUGCCUUCUGCACCAGGUAUGGGCAUUAUGAGUUCAUAGUCAUGUCCUUUGGCUUAACUAAUGCCCCUGCUGCGUUUAUGGAAGCAAUGAAUAGGAUGCUGCAUGAAUUCUUGGAUGAUUUUGUGGUCGUAUUCCUGGAUGAUAUUUUGAUUUAUUCAAAGACCGAGGCCGAGCAUGAUCAGCAUCUCCAUCUCGUUCUGGGUGCCCUAAGGAAGAAUCAAUUCUAUGGCAAGUUGAAGAAGUGUGCCUUUUGGCUAUCUGAAGUGGCUUUCCUGGGCACGUGAUUAAUCAGCAGGGUAUUGCGGUUGACCCCAAGAAUGUUGCGGCUGUAGUGGAGUGGAAGAGACCUUCUAGUGUCUCUGAAAUCCGAAGUUUCUUGGGGCUUGCUGGGUAUUAUCGGCGUUUCGUACCAAAUUUUUCCAGCAUUGAUAAGCCUUUGACUAGGCUCUUGGGGAAGGGUGUUCCCUUCGUCUGGUCCGGCGAUUGUGAGAUCAGUUAUCAGUCAUUGAAGAGCAAGUUGGUGGACGCCCCUAUCCUAGCUUUGCCUGAGAGCGGUAAGCGUUUCACAGUUUAUACGGAUGCUUCGCGUAUUGGUCUUGGCUGUGUGCUGAUGCAGGAAGGCAGGGUGAUUGCUUAUGGCUCAAGGCAGUUGAGGAAGCAUGAGGGGAAUUAUCCAACUCAUGAUCUGGAAUUGGCUGCGGUGGUUUUUGCUCUAAAGUCGUGGAGGCAUUACCUUUAUGGCGAGGCUUGUGACAUUUUCACUGAUCACAAAAGUCUCAAGUAUAUUUUUACUCAGAAGGAGCUGAAUUUGAGGCAGCGUCGGUGGCUAGAAUUGAUUAAAGAUUAUGAUUUGUCCAUUCAUUAUCACCUGGGGAAGGCUAAUGUGGUGGCGGAUGCCCUUAGCAGGUCCGGGGUUCCAAAGGUGGCCUUGCCGUUGAUCGCUGAUCUGGACCGUUUGGGGAUCGCUUUGUGUUAUGUCGGCACUGCUAGCGAGGAGACUCAGAUGCUUAUUCGAUCCUCUCUUAUGGAGAGAGUGCGUGCGGCUCAGCAGCAGGAUCGUCUUUUGCAGGAAGCCCGAAGGAGGGUUGGUGAUGGUAAACCGCGGGAGUUCACCAUUGAUGAGAAUGAUUUGGUUCGUUUCAGGGGCCGUCUUUGUGUGCCUCAGAAAUCAGAGGUGAAGCUGGAUAUCCUGCGAGAAGCUCAUAAAACGCCUUACACCGUCCAUCCUGGCGAAACCAAAAUGUACCGAGAUUUGAAGCAAAACUUCUGGUGGAAGCGGAUGAAGGUUGACAUUUCUAAGUAUGUGGCAGCCUGUGAAGUAUGUCAGCGCGUGAAGGCCGAACAUAAGCGGUCUGCAGGUUUGCUGAAGCCAUUGGAAAUUCCAGAGUGGAAAUGGGAGCAUAUCACCAUGGAUUUUGUGGUGGGUCUACCUCGUUCCCCUCGUGGCAGGGAUGCUAUUUGGGUGGUAGUGGAUCGCUUGACUAAGUCUGCGCAUUUUAUUCCCAUGAAGACCACGAAUUCAGCUUCAGAUUUGGUUCCCUUGUAUAUGAAGGAAGUAGUCAGGCUUCACGGGGUACCUAAGUCUAUUGUUUCUGAUCGAGACUCCAAAUUUGUAUCCAAAUUCUAGGAGAGUCUCCAUAGUGCAUUGGGCACCAAGCUUUCGCUUAGUGUCGCUUUUCACCCUCAGACGGAUGGUCAGUCAGAGCGAACAAUCCAAACCUUGGAGGAUAUGUUGCGUGCUUGUGUUCUGUCAUGGAAGGGUAGCUGGGAGGAUCAUCUUGCUCUGGCAGAGUUUGCGUAUAACAACAGCUACCAAGCUAGCAUCAAGAUGGCACCAUUUGAGGCUUUGUAUGGCAGGCGGUGUAUCUCUCCUCUGUGCUGGGAGACUUUGGGAGAGAGAUCCCUGGUUGGUCCUGAUUGGGUUCAGCAAACUUCUGAAAAGGUUCGGGAAAUUCGUCAGAAUAUUUUGGCAGCUCAGAGUCGUCAGAAGAGUUAUGCUGAUGUGAGGAGGCGGGAUCUGGAAUUUGCUGUGGGUGACCAAGUCCUUCUCAGGGUAUCACCCACUAAGGGAGUUGUUCGGUUCGGUGUCUCUGGGAAGCUCAGCCCAAGAUACAUUGGACCGUUCACUAUCUUGGCCCGAGUGGGCAGCCUGGCUUAUCGCUUGCUGCUGCCGGAUUCCAUGGCAGGGGUACACCCGGUUUUUCAUGUCUCUAUGUUGAGGAAGUUCUUGCGGGAUCCGGACCAUCAGAUUGAGAUGGAACCAAUUGCGGUGCAGCAGGAUCUGACUCUGGAGUGCCGUCCGGUGCGUAUAUUGAAAUUCUCGGAGCGUGCGUUGAGGAAGAGAUCAAUUAAGUAUGUCAAGGUCUUAUGGUCUAAUCAGUCAGAGCGCGAGGCUACGUGGGAACUUGAGGAGUUGAUGCGGCAGAAGUACCCGGAACUUUUCGUUGUGGGUAAGUGUUGUUGAUUCGCUAAUCUUUUCUUGUGUCAUUCCGAUAGAAGCGUCAGAAUUCGAGGUCGAAUUCUUUUUAAGAGGGGUAGAAUGUGAUACCCGGUUUGCAAAGAAGAGAAGUUGGGGGUUGUUCUUUUUGUUUUUUUCCCUCAUCCAGUUGUUGUUUUGGGGAUUUGGAAUUUUGUGAACAACAUUCGCAACUAGGGCAGUAGAAUUUAUUUGGUUUGACGUUUGUGUUGCGGUCGGGAGCUGUCGCGUGGGUUAGUUGGGCCGCAAUUGGUGUUUCGGCCCAUUAGCCCUCCCAAACCCUAGCCGCCACCCUCCUAACUACCCCCCCCCCAUGUGCAGCCGCCCCCCCCCCCACUCCUCCUUUCCCCUUGGCCGCCGCCCCCCCUGCCCACCUCCUCCUCCCUCCAUUGUUGCAGCCACCAAAACCCUAGCCGCCCCCCCCCCCAAUUCCCUCCUCCCUAGGUGCUACUCCGUGUCGCUCGGAUCAUCGUCUUUUGGUGCGAAUCUCCAAUCGUUUUGGUGGAAGGAAGAAGGGAGGAAGGAAAAGGGGAGAACCCAAGGUGAUUUUUCUUUUGUGUUCAUCCCUUGUUCAUUUGCGCUGCGAUUCAAUUGAUGAGAUGUUGCGUUUGCGAUUAGAUAGAGGGGGGCUGUCCAGAAUUUUGCGUGGUGGAUGAACAGCGGUAGUUCCAGCAGUUUUUAGUUUUUUUUCGUGAAGAUUUAAUGGGGAUCAAUUUGGGAAUCUUGUAGAACUUUGUUUUAUCUUUCCAAUGAGUAUUUAUGCGCUCAAUUUGGAGUUAUAAAUUAAAAGUUAUCAUCGUUUGAAUCUGGGUAUGUGGCUGUCCAGAAAACAGAUUUUUCAGAGUAAUGAACAGCAGCAGUGUUAGCAGUUUCUGGGGAUUUUUCGGGAGCAAUUAGUGUUAAUCAGUAUGAGAAUCUUGUAGAACUUUGUUUUAUCUUUCCAACGAGUAUUUAUGCGCUCAAUUUGGAGUUAUAAAUUAAAAGUUAUCAUCGUUUGAAUCCGGGUAUGUGGCUGUCCAGAAAACAGAUUUUUUCAGAGUGAUGAACAGCAGCAGUGUUAGCAGUUUCUGGGGAUGUUUCAGGAGUAAUUAGUGUUAAUCAGUAUGAGAAUCAUGUAGGGCUUUUUCUUAUCUUUCCAACAAGUACUUAUGCGCUCAAAUCGGAAUUAUAUUUUAAAAGUUAUCGCUGUUUGAAUCCGCGUAUGUCGCUGCUCAAAUCAGAAAAAAACAGAUUGCAGGGUUUAUUUUGAGGACCGUUUAGAGGUAAGUAGAUGUUAGAAUUCAAUCAUGAGUUGUAUACAAAACUUGUGGGGAAUUUUAUGUAGUUGUCUCUGAAGGUUUUGUUUAUCAUCACUGCUGUCCUAAAUUUUAAGUUAUGGAAUUGUUAAGCAGCGCCGCUGCAGUUUGGUUAGUGAGGGGAGAAUUGUUACCGCGGCGGGGUUUGAGAUUGCGCGUAGGUGCGGUGUUGUCUUUGAGUUUUUUUUUCAUGAGAAUUUGGUGAACUAAGUUGGGUGUCAAAAACAGGUGGUGGACUUCCGGAUCGUUCUUAGGGAUUUUGCCCGAACUUCGGUAAAGGCAAGUAAAACAGUGAUGGUUAUUUCGUCUUUUGAUUGAAGAGUCUUAUACUUGAUUACGUUUGUGCUAUUUGUGUUCGUAUCCAUAUUCCUAAUUGGGUACCAUCGUUUGAAAUUAUUCAUGCUUUAUUGAUUAUACAUGUGGAGGGUGUGGUUUGAUCAUGUUACCCAUGUGGUUAUUGAUGUGAAAUGGGUGGAAGUAUAUGUCUAGCACAUCUUAUUUGGGAAGAACUCAUGUUGUUGACAUGCAUAAUGCAUUCAUCAUCCAUUGCAUUGAAGUUUCGUCGCGAUCUUAUGGUCCGACUGUACCGGUACAAUGAGCAUCAUAUGUUUCCCGAGAAGGGGUAUGAUGCAGCUUCAUAUUCUUAGAGGUAUGAAGGCAGAAGUCAUGUUGCAUCUGUAGCCAUGUGCAUUCAUGGGUGAAGUGUGGAACCUAUUUUGGUGAUGUGGAUAAGGUGGAUCUUUACUUAGUAAUUCAUCUUGGCAUUGAGUAAUUGAUUACUUGCUUACUUGCUGCAAAUUAAUAUUUAAGGAGGAAGUUGGGAACCAUGUGGUUGCUUAUGCACGGUUGGCUUGCAUUGUCCAACUGUUGUUUGUUUUUUUUACUUGCUGAGAUGUGUCAUCUCACUCUUGCAUUGUCUGAUGCAGGCACCUGAUCUUUGCUUUGGGAAGGAAGGGAUGUAGCAGCACGACCACCACACUUUUAAAUAAAGGAAUAACUGAUUAAUAAUGAUGUUAAACAUGAAGAGUCAAAGUCUAGGGAAUUAUUACAUUCUAAUCUUUCAUGGUAGUUGAACUGUUUAGUUUGGUGGGCUGAGAUGUCUAUCUUUUGUCUGGUCAUGAAUGUUCUUUUCUACUGUUGCAUUUUGAUUAUACUAUGUCAAUUAUCUUUCUUUUAUAUCCUGUAUAAACUAUAUGCUUCCCUUGUUAUGCUACUUUCAAGGGAGGUGCUGCCGGAUUUUGCAAUACUUUCUUUCUCUAUGUGUUGCAUAAGUUUUGUAGAAAGGUUUUUUUUUGGUAUCAUCCAUUGUGUGGGAUCAGUGGGGUGUUACAGCUCUGGAAGUAGAAAAAUGUGAAAAUUUAACUAGUGAGCUAAGCACUUGCCAUGAUACUAUUACCAACCUUAGAAAUGAGAAUGCUAUAUUAAUUGCUAAGGUUGAGAAAUUAAAUGUUUGUGAUGUUUCUAUUGUCAAACUUAAAAUGAUAAUGCUAAUUUGAUUGCUAAGAUUGACAAGUUGAAUGAAUCAAUUGCUAGCCUUAGGAUAGAAAAUGAUAAAUUGAUUACUAAGGCUAAAAAUUUAUAUGUUUGAAAUGAAAUUGUUUCCAAUCUUAGAAAUGAAAAUGUCAUGUUACAUGCUAAGAUUGAUGAAUUAAAUGCUUGCUAACCUUCUACAUCUAUUGUUAGUCAUGUCUCUAUUUGCAAUAGAUGUAGAGAUGUUAAUGUUGAUGCUAUUCAUGAUCACCUAGCUUUAAUUAAACAACAAAAUGAUCACAUAGCUCAACUUAGUGCUAAAAUUAAUGAGCAUGACUUAGAAAAUGAAAAUUUUAAAUUUGCUAGAAGCAUGCUCUAUAGUGGGAGACGCCCAGGCAUUAAGGAUGACAUUGGCUUCCAACAGGGAGACAAUGUCAAGCUUAAUGCCCCUAAGAAAUUGUCUAACUUUGUCAAGAGCAAAGCUCCCAUAGUUCAGGAUAACGAGGGCUAUAUUUUAUAUCCUGCUGGUUAUCCCGAACACAAAAUUAGGAGAAUUCUUUCUAGGAAGUCUCACUCUGACUCUCACCAUGCUUUUAUGUAUAAGAGUAAGACAUCUAGUUCUAGGCAGUCCACUCGUGUUAAAUUGCCUAAAAAGAAAUCUCCUAUAGCAUCAAAUGAACCUAAUAUUUCAUUUAAGAUUUUUGAUGCUUCUUAUGUGCUCACUAGCAAAUCAGGCAAAGUAGUUGCCAAAUAUGUUGGGGGCAAAUACAAGGGGUCAAAGACUUGUGUUUGGGUACCCAAGGUGCUUGUUUCUAAUGUCAAAGGACCCAAGACCGUUUGGGUACCUAAGAACAAGGCCUAAACUUGUUUUGUAGGUUUAUGCAUCCGGAGGCUCAAGUUGGAUAAUUGAUAGCGGGUGCACAAACCACAUGACUGGGGAGAAAAGAAUGUUCUCCUCCUAUGUGAAAAACCAUGAUCCCUAAAGAGUAUCACAUUCAGGGAUGGAAAUCAAGGUUUGGUCAAAGGACUUGGUAAAAUUGCUAUAUCUCCUGACCAUUCUAUUUCCAAUGUUUUUCUUGUAGAUUCUUUAGAUUAUAACUUGCUUUCUGUUUCUCAAUUAUGCAAAAUGAGCUACAAUUGUCUUUUUACGGAUAUAGGUGUUAUUGUCUUUAGAAGAAGUGAUGAUUCAGUAGCAUUUAAGGGAGUGUAAGAGGGUCAGCUAUACUUAGUUGAUUUUAAUAGAGCUGAACUCGACACUUGCUUAAUUGCUAAGACUAACAUGGGUUGGCUCUGGCAUCGCCGACUAGCCCACGUUGGGAUGAAGAAUCUUCAUAAGCUUCUAAAGGGAGAGCACAUUUUGGGACUAACCAAUGUUCAUUUUGUGAAAGGCAGGGUUUGUAGCGCAUGUCAAGCAGGGAAGCAAGUUGGUGCUCAUCAUCCACACAAGAACAUCAUGACGACUGAUAGGCCGCUUGAGCUACUCCACAUGGAUCUAUUCGGCCCGAUAGCUUACAUAAGCAUCGGCGGGAGUAAGUACUGUCUAGUUAUUGUGGAUGAUUAUUCUCGCUUCACUUGGGUGUUCUUUUUGUAGGAUAAAUCUCAAACCCAAGAGACCUUAAAGGGAUUCUUGAGACGGGCUCAAAAUGAGUUCGGCUUAACGAUCAAAAAGAUUAGAAGCGACAACGGGACGGAGUUCAAGAACUCACAAAUAGAAGGCUUCCUUGAGGAUGAGGGCAUCAAGCAUGAGUUCUCUUCUCCCUACACACCACAACAAAAUGGUGUAGUGGAGAGGAAGAAUAGAACUCUACUUGACAUGGCGAGGACCAUGCUUGAUGAAUACAAGACUUCGGACCGGUUUUGGGCGGAAGCAGUCAACACCGCUUGCUACGCCAUCAACCGACUCUAUCUUCACUGAAUCCUCAAGAAGACAUCAUAUGAACUCCUAACCGGUAAAAAGCUCAAUGUUUCAUAUUUUUAGAGUCUUUGGUAGCAAAUGCUUUAUUCUUGUUAAAAGAGGUAGAAACUCCAAAUUUGCUCCUAAGGCUGUAGAAGGCUUUUUACUUGGUUAUGAUUCGAACACAAGGGCAUAUAGAGUCUUUAACAAGUCCACUGGACUAGUUGAAGUUUCUUGUGACAUUGUGUUUGAUGAGAGUAACGACUCUCAAGUAGAGCAAGUUGAUCUUGAUGAGCUAGAUGAUGAAGAUGCUCUAUGCGUCGUGCUAAGGAACAUGUCUAUUGGGGAUGUAUGUCCUAAAGAAUCCGAAGAGCCUCCACAUGCAUAAGAUCAACCAUCAUCUUCAAAUCAAGCAUCUCCACCAACUCAAGAUGAGGAUCAAGCUCAAGAUGAUGAAAAUGAAGAUCAAGAGGAGCCACCUCAAGAGGAGGACAAUGAUCAAGGGGGAGAUGCCAAUAAUCAAGACAAGGAAGAUGACGAGGAUCCAAGACCGCCACACCCAAGAGUCCAUCAAGUGAUACAACGAGAUCACCCCAUAAACUCCAUCCUCGGCGAUAUUCAUAAGGGGGUAACCACUCGAUCUCGUGUCUCUCAUUUUUGUGAACAUUACUCCUUUGUGUCUUCUAUUGAGCCAUAUAGGGUGGAAGACGUAUUAAGGGAUUCGGAUUGGGUGUUGGCAAUGCAAGAGGAACUCAACAACUUCACGAGGAAUGAGGUAUGGCAUCUUGUUCCACGUCCUAACCAAAAUGUUGUAGAAACCAAAUGGGUCUUCUGCAACAAGCAAGAUGAGCAUGGUGUGGUGACAAGGAACAAAGCUCGACUUGUAGCCAAGGGUUAUUCACAAGUCGAAGGUUUGGAUUUUGGUGAAACCUAUGCACCCGUAGCUAGGCUUGAGCCAAUCCGUAUAUUACUUGCCUAUGCUACUUACCAUGGCUUUAAGCUCUAUCAAAUGGACGUGAAAAGUGCCACAAUGGACCAAUCAAGGAGGAGGUCUAUGUUGAGCAACCUCCCGGCUUUGAAGAUAGUGAGUACCCUAAUCAUGUCUAUAAACUCUCUAAGGCGCUUUAUGGGCUCAAGAAAGCCCCAAGAGUAUGGUAUGAAUGCCUAAGAGAUUUUCUUAUCGCUAAUGGCUUCAAAGUCGGAAAAGCCGAUCCUACUCUCUUUACUAAAACAAUUGCAAACGAUCCUACUAUCAUAUUUGGGUCUACUAACAAAUCUACUUGUGAAGAGUUUAGUAGGAUAAUGGUUCAAAAAUUCGAGAUGCCUAUUAUGGGGGAGUUAAAGUAUUUCUUAGGAUUUCAAGUCAAGCAACUCCAAGAGGGCACCUUCAUCAGCCAAACGAAGUACAUUCAAGACAUACUCACCAAGUUUGGGAUGAAGGAUGCCAAGCCCAUCAAGACACCCAUGGGAACUAAUGGGCAUCUCGACCUCGACACGGGAGGUAAAUCCGUAGAUCAAAAGGUAUACCAGUCGAUGAUAGGAUCUUUACUCUAUUUAUGUGCAUUCGGCCGGAUAUUAUGCUUUCCGUAUGCAUGUGUGCAAGAUUCCAAGCCGAUCCUAAAGAAGUUCACCUUAGGGCCGUAAAACAAAUCUUGAGAUAUUUAGUUCAUACACCUAAGUUUGGUCUUUGGUACCCCAAGGGAUCCACUUUUGAUUUAAUAGGCUAUUCAGAUGUUGAUUGGGCAGGGUGUAAAAUUGAUAGAAAGAGCACAUCAGGGACUUGUCAGUUCUUGGGAAGAUCCCUGGUGUCUUAGGCUUCAAAGAAACAAAACUCAGUAGCUCUUUCCACCGCCGAAGCCAAGUACAUUGCCACAGGCCAUUGUUGCGCGCAAUUGCUUUGGAUGAGGCAAACCCUUAGGGACUAUGGUUACAAAUUAACCAAAGUCCCUCUCCUAUGUGAUAAUGAGAGUGCAAUCCGCAUGGCGGAUAAUCCCGUUGAGCACAGCCGCACUAAGCACAUAGUCAUUCGGUAUCACUUUUUGAGGGAUCACCAAUAAAGGGGGGAUAUCGAGAUAGCCUAUGUGAGCACCAAAGAACAAUUAGCCGAUAUCAUUACCAAGCCACUAGAUGAGAAAACUUUUACCAAACUUAGGCAUGAGCUCAACAUUCUUGAUUCUAGGAACUUUGAUUGAUUCCUUGCACACAUAGCUCAUUUAUACCUUUGAUCAUAUCUCUUUCAUUUGCUAUGACUAAUGUGUUUUCAAGUAUAUUUCAUGCUAAGUCAUAGAUUGAAAGGGAAAUGGAGUCUUCAGCGAAGACAAGGCUUCCACUCCACUCCAUCGUAUUAUUUUUCCUUCGCCGUCACUCCACAUCGCUCUUCACUUUGGUAUAAUCCUUCACUCAUAAAUUAUUUGCCAAAGGGAGAGAAAGUACAAAGGGCUUAUAUUUCACUCACAAGUAUCCGUUUUUUGCGAUUCAUGCCAAAGGGGGAGAAAGUAUUAGCCCAAAGCAAAUGGACCGCACCACCACCAAUUUCAAAAAUGUAGUCUUUCAAUUUGUAUUAAAAGAAGUUUUUCAAUUGGUAUAUUAUUUCUGAUAUAAUUUCAAAUUGGUUUGACCUCUUUCAAAAUUAAUAUCUAAAACCCUCUUGAACACUAAGAGGAGAAUUUCAUUGAGGGGGAGUUUUGUUUAGUCAAAGGAAAAGCAUUUUAAAACAGGGGAGAAAAUUUCAAACCUUGAAAAUGCUUCUCGAAAUCUUAUUCAUUUACCUUUGACUAUUUGCAAAAAGACUUUGAAAAGAAUUUCCAAAAACAUUUGCAAAAACAAAACAAGUGGUGCAAGCGUGGUCCAAAAUAUUAAAUAUGAAGAAAGCAAUCCAUGCAUAUCUUAUGAAAAUGUAAAUUGGUUAAAUUCCAAGCAACCUUUGCACUUACAUUAUGCAAACUAGUUCAAUUCUGCACUUGUACAUUUGCUUUGGUUUGUGUUGGCAUCAAUCACCAAAAAGGGGGAGAUUGAAAGGGAAAUAGGGUCAAACCUUUUCCUAAAUAAUUUUGGUGGUUGAAUUGCCCAACACAAAUAAUUGGACUAACUAGUUUGCUCUAUAUUAUAAGUUCUACAGGUGCAAAAGGUUCACAACAAACCAAUACAAAGUUAAAAGAAAGGGUUCAAAUCAAAGGAGCAAAGAAAACCGAAGGUUGCCGUGGUCUGGCGCACCGGACUGUCCGGUGUGCCACCGGACAGUGUCCGGUGCACCAGGGUGGAUCAACUCCAACUUGCUAGCUUCGGGUUUUCGGAGAGCCACUCUACUAUAAUUCACCGGGCUGUCCGGUGUAGCACCGAACUGUCCGGUGUGCCAAGCGGAGUAACGACUACAGCGCCAACGGUCGACUGCAAAAGUGUACAGUGAACAGUGCGGACUGCGCGCACAGAGUCAGAGCAGGCGCCAGAAGGCGCACCAGACAGUGAAUAGUGACUGUCCGGUGCACCACCAGACUGUCCGGUGGCCCCACAUGUCAGAGCUCCAACGGUCGAACCCUAACGGUUGGGUGACGUGGCUGGCGCACCGGACAGUGUCCGGUGCGCCCGUCGACAGACAGCCUUCCCCAACGGCCACUUUGGUGGUUGGGGCUAUAAAUACCCCACAACCAGCACACUUCAAGGCAUCCAAGUUUUCAGCCAACACAUUCAAUACAAGAGCUAGUGCAUUCAAUACAAGACACAAUUAGAGUGAAUCAAAAUCUCUCCAAGUCCCGAUUCCACUCAAAGCAAUAGUGACUAGAAGAGAGAGUUUUUGCCGUGUUAUUUUGAUCUCUUGCGCUUGGAUCGCUUUUCUUCUUCCCCAUUUCUUGUUCCCAAGAUCUUUGUAAUCAAAGCAAGAGACACCAAUUGUGUGGUGGUCCUUGUGGGGACUAAGUGUCCCAAUUGAUUGAGAAGAGAAGCUCACUCGGUCUAGGUGACCGUUUGAGAGAGGGAAAGGGUUGAAAGAGACCCGGUCUUUGUGACCACCUCAACGGGAAGUAGGUUUGCAAGAACCGAACCUCGGUAAAACAAAUCAUCGUGUCACACUCUUCAUUUGCUUGUGAUUUGUUUUCACCCUCUCUUUCGGACUCGCUUUUAUUUCUAACGCUAACCCCGGCUUGUAAUGGUGCUUAAAGUUUAUAAAUUUCAAAUUUGCAUAUUCACCCCCCUCUAGGCGACUUUCAAUUGGUAUCAGAGCCAGGUACUUCAUUAGAGCCUAGCUGCUCGAAGUGAUGUCGGGAGUUCACGCCAAGAAGGAGAUGGUGACCGGCGAGAAGCCCGCCACAAGCCACGGGAAAGAUCAAUCGGGAGAGUCCGGCAACAAAAGGGAGGAAUCACCUCCUCGUGUCAAGCCGCACCAGAGUGGCGACAAGAAGAAGAAAAUGAAGAAGGUGGUCUACUAUGAGACCGACUCUUCGUCGCCUUCCACCUCCGGCUCCGACACGCCGUCCGUCACUUCUAAGCGCCAUGAGCGCAAGAAGUUUAGUAAGAUCCCCUUAUGCUAUCCUCGCAUUUCCAAACGCACUCCUUUACUUUCCAUCCCACUAGGCAAACCACCGGUUUUUAACGGUGAAGAUUAUUGUAUGUGGAGUGAUAAAAUGAGGCACCAUCUAACCUCACUCCAUGCUAGCAUUUGGGACAUUGUUGAGUUUGGAGCGCAUGAACCAUCCGUGAGGGAUGAAGGCUAUGACUCGGACGAGGUAGCCCAAAUCCGGCACUUCAACUCCCAAGCCACUACUAUACUCCUCGCCUCUCUAAGUCAAGAGGAGUAUAAUAAGGUGCAAGGGUUGAAGAGUGCCAAGGAGAUUUGGGACGUGCUCAAGACCGCGCACGAAGGAGAUGAGGUGACCAAGAUCACCAAGCGGGAAAUGAUCGAGGGGGAGCUCGGUCGAUUUAUGCUCAACCAAGGGGAGGAGCCACAAGCCAUGUACAACCAGCUCAAUACCUUAGUGAACCAAGUGUGCAACCUCGGGAGCACAAAUUGGGAUGACCAUGAAAUGGUCAAGGUUAUUCUUAGAUCACUCGUUUUUCUUAACCCUACUUAAGUUCAAUUAAUUCGUGGUGAUCCUAGAUAUAAGCUAAUGUCUCCCGAGGAAGUGAUUGGAAAGUUUGUGAGCUUUGAGUUGAUGAUCAAAGGCUCCAAACAAAUCAUCGAGCGAGGCGCCUCCUCCACACCCGAAGUGCAACCCAUUGCCUUCAAAGCAACGGAGGAGAAGAAAGAAGAGUCUACAUCAAGUAGACUCCCUAUCGACGCCUCCAAGCUCGACAACGAGGAAAUGGCGCUCAUCAUCAAGAGCUUCCGCCAAAUCCUCAAGCAAAGGAGGGGGAAGGAUUACAAGCCCCACUCUAAGAAGGUUUGCUACAAGUGUGGUAAGCCCGGUCACUUUAUUGCUAAAUAUCCAUUAUCUAGUGAUAGUGACAGGGGCGACGACAAGAAGGGAAAGAGAAGAGAAAAGAAGAGAUACUACAAGAAGGGCGGCGAUGCCCAUGUAUGUCGGGAGUGGGACUCCGACGAGAGCUCCACCGACUCCUCCUCCAACGAGGAUGCUGCCAACAUCGCCGUCAACAAGGGUCUUCUCUUCCCCAACGUCGGCCACAAGUGUCUCAUGGCAAAGGACGGCAAAAAGAAGGUAAAAUAUAGAGCCUCCACUAAAUAUGCAAUAUCUAGUGAUGAGGAAAACUCUAGUGAUGAUGAGGAUAAUUUGCUUGCCCUUUUUGCCAACCUCAACAUGCAACAAAAAAAAAGUUAAAUGAAUUGAUAGGUGCUAUUCAUGAGAAUGAUGAACUCUUGUAUAUCCAAGAGGACUUCCUUAUUAAGGAAAAUAAGAAGCAUGUUAAAGUUAAAAUGCUUAUGUUCAGGAAGUAGAAAAAUGUGAAAAAUUAACUAGUGAGCUAAGCACUUGCCAUGAUACUAUUUCCAACCGUAGAAAUGAGAAUGCUAUAUUAAUUGCUAAGGUUGAGAAAUUAAAUGUUUGUG
rnacentral:lncRNA from 1 species